rnacentral:rRNA from 1 species
GACGAACGCUGGCGGCGUGCCUAACACAUGCAAGUCGAACGAGACCGUCGGGUCUAUUGGCGCACGGGUGCGUACCGCGGGGGAACCUACCCUUAAGUUCCGAAUAACUCCCCGAAGGGGAUCCUAAGACCGCUGAAGCUAUUAGCGCCAAAGAUUUCUCGCCUUGGGAUGGGCCCGCGUUGGUUUCGCCGGUUGGUAGUGUAAAAGCCGACCAAGGGGACGUUCCAGAGCUGGUCUGAGAGGAUGGUCAGCCACACUGGGAAUGAGACACGGCCCAGACUCGUACGGGAGGCAGCAGUGGGGAAUAUUGGACGAGGGGCGAAAGUCUGAUCCAGCCAUGCCGCGUGAGUGAUGAAGGCGUUAGGGUUGUAAAGCUCUUUUAGCCGGGAUGAUAAUGACAGUACCGGGAGAAUAAGCACCGGCUAACUACGUG